rnacentral:misc_RNA from 1 species
GAGAGUUGCAAGACUCCCACACCAUUGCGAACGCACCCCCCGUCCUUGUCGUUGCCUCGGCGGGGGUGGCCCCCCGCGGGCCGCCUCCGCCGCCGGCACGAGAACCUCUGUUUUUUUGUGGCCUCUCUGAGUACCAUAGACAAAUAAGUCA